AUGUACAUUCUUACAACAUAGCGUUAAUGCAUCAAAUUCCAUUAGAAAUUUGCAGUUAAGUGUGCUUAGGAUAAAGUAGUACCAGGAUAGGUGACCACCCGAAAAGUCUUAGUGUUUUACAUU
rnacentral:rRNA from 1 species